CCCUUAGAUGUUCUGGGCCGCACGCGCGCUACACUGACGAUGGCAACGAGUUUUUCCUUCGCCGAAAGGUGUGGGUAAUCUUUUGAAACAUCGUCGUGCUGGGGAUAGAUCAUUGCAAUUUUUGAUCUUGAACGAGGAAUUCCUAGUAAGCGCGAGUCAUCAGCUCGCGUUGAUUACGUCCCUGCCCUUUGUACACACCGCCCGUCGCUACUACCGAUUGAAUGGUUUAGUGAGGACUCCUGAUUGGCGCCGCCGCCCCGGCAACGGAGCAGCGGACUGCCGAAAAGUCGUUCAAACUUGAUCAUUUAGAGGAAGUAAAAGUCGUAACA
rnacentral:rRNA from 1 species